rnacentral:rRNA from 1 species
GACGAACGCUGGCGGCGUGCCUAAUACAUGCAAGUCGAGCGGACCUCUUCGGAGGUCAGCGGCGGACGGGUGAGUAACACGUGGGCAACCUGCCUGUAAGACUGGGAUAACACCGGGAAACCGGUGCUAAUACCGGAUAAUACUUUCCGACUCAUGUCGGGAAGCUGAAUGACGGUUUCGGCUGUCACUUACAGAUGGGCCCGCGGCGCAUUAGCUCGUUGGUGGGGUAACGGCCCACCAAGGCGACGAAGCGUAGCCGACCUGAGAGGGUGAUCGGCCACACUGGGACUGAGACACGGCCCAGACUCCUACGGGAGGCAGCAGUAGGGAAUCUUCCGCAAUGGACGAAAGUCUGACGGAGCAACGCCGCGUGAGCGAAGAAGGCCUUCGGGUCGUAAAGCUCUGUUGUCAGGGAAGAACAAGUACCGGAGUAACUGCCGGUACCUUGACGGUACCUGACCAGAAAGCCACGGCUAACUACGUGCCAGCCGCCGCAGUAAAAC